GAGUUUGAUCAUGGCUCAGGAUGAACGCUAGCGGCAGGCUUAACACAUGCAAGUCGAGGGGUAAAUAUAGCAAUAUAUGAGACCGGCAAAACGGGUGCGGAACACGUACUGAACCUACCUUGGUCUGGGGCAUAGCCCGAAGAAAAUUCGGAUUAACUCCCCAUAGUAUUAGAUUGUGGCAUCACAGACUAAUUAAAAAAUUUAUUGGACCAGGAUGGCAGUGCGUCCCAUUAGCUAGUUGGUAGGGUAACGGCCUACCAAGGCGACGAUGGGUAGCUGGUGUGAGAGCACGACCAGCCACACGGGCACUGAGACACGGGCCCGACUCCUACGGGAGGCAGCAGUGAGGAAUAUUGGUCAAUGGACGCAAGUCUGAACCAGCCAUGCCGCGUG
rnacentral:rRNA from 1 species